GGUGAUGUAGCUCAGGCAGGUUAGAGCGUAUGUUUUUACAUGAGGUCGGCGGUUCGAAUCCGCCCAUCACUUCA
rnacentral:tRNA from 1 species